GCCGACGGUGGACGCACCGAAUCGACUUCCCAAGCUGAAUACGCGGGUUCGAUUCCCGUCAUCGGCUCCA
rnacentral:tRNA from 1 species